GGAAGUCUUCCCAGUGAAACCGAUAGGGACAGGAGAUAGCUGAGCAAAGAUGCGCGUGCGUCGCUUGUUGAUGUGGAAGGUGGAAUGCACGACUCAACAUGUAAUUCAGAGGUGGAGCUCUGGUCCUCUGGAGUGGCGUGAUCAU